ensembl:lncRNA
UUUUCUCUCUUCCUUCCUCUUUUAAUAAAUAAAUAAAUACAUGAAUGAAUUCAUUUAUAUAUUCAUCCAUUUAUUAUUAUUUUUUUCCCAUUCCCCUUAAAUAUGUAUCUUUAAAAAAACACAGGUUUUUUUUUCUCUCCCACGGGCACGUGCUAUGUGCAUCAUUUUUUCUAUCUUUUUUAUUUUACUGUUUAUUUUCGAUUUUAUUUGAUUUCUUCUACUUUUUUUCCUCCUGUAUUUAUGCGUUUAUUUUUCUUUCUCUUCCUUUUUUUCUCCCCUUCCUCUGUUUCUCUCUUCUCUUAGGGUUGGCUUUGGAUUUAACAGUCCAUUAACUGUAACUCUAUAUGUUUUUACCGCGUCCUUAUUUCCCUCUCAAGAGGGAGAGUGGAUGCAGUUGGGAAAAAAAGACAUGUUGCUAACUCCCUGAACUCUGGACUCCAGGUGUAAGGUUUUGCAGUUAAUGACCAUAAACAUGUCGGUCGUUUCGGGCUGAAUGAUAAUUUCCUGUUUACGAGCACUGGUUAACGCAGGUGCUGUGUACAUGCCUGAGGAAGGUCUGGUGAAUUCCCCGUGCUCGAUGAAUCGAUGCUGUAAUCAGAAGCAACCCUGCGGUGGGACGGGAAAAACUUCUGCUGUAAAGAAAGAACAGCAGAGUGAAGUCAGUGACUUGCCUUUCUACAUGACAUUAACCAAAUGAACAAAAUCUGUGUGGGUCUUCAAUACGCCUGCGACAUCAUCAGCGUAACAGUUCUGUAAUUAAACAUGGCUGUCACAGCGAGCUGUUACGUUUAGAAAGACGCAGAAUGUUUGCUACAUCAUCAUCACUUCAAACGUGUUUUCACUGCUGAUCUAAUGCCACGCUAGAACCUCACCCUGUCAGCUGACCGACAAAAUAACUCAAUAACACCUCUUGUUUUCUGUGAGAAAGUGUGUUAGGGUGUCUUGUGAAAGCGUGUCAGAGUGUGUCGUGUGAAAGCGUGUCAGAGUGUGUCGUGUGAGAGUGUGCUGUGUGAAAGUGUGUCGUGUGAAAGUGUGUCAGUGUGUCGUGGUGAAAUGUGCUGUGUGAAAGUGUGUCGUAGUGUGCUGUGUGAAAGUGUGUCGUGUGAAAGUGUGUCAGUGUGUCGUGUGAAAGUGUGUCGUGUGAAAGCGUGUCAGAGUGUGUCGUGUGAAAGUGUGCUGUGUGAAAGUGUGUCGUAUGAAAGUGUGACAAAGUGUGUCGUGUGAAAGUGUGCUUGUGAAAUGUGUCAUAUGAAAGUGUGUCGUGUGAAAGCGUCAGUGUGUCAUGUGAAAGUGUGUCACGUGAAAGCGUGUCAGAGUGUGUCGUGUGAAAGUGUGCUGUGUGAAAGUGUGUCGUAUGAAAGUGUGACAGAGUGUGUCAUAUGAAAGUGUGUCGUGUGAAAGCAUGUCAGAGUGUGUCAUGUGAAAUGUGUCAUGUGAAAGUGUGUCGUAUGAAAGUGUGACAGAGUGUGUCGUGUGAAAGUGUGCUGUGUGAAACUGUCCUGUGUGAAAGUGUGUCGUGUGAAGUGUGACAGAGUGUGCUGUUUG